UAGAAAAGGAUCAUGACGAAU
rnacentral:piRNA from 1 species